ensembl:lncRNA
GUUAAAAGGCCUGUCCCUGCCUAAUGCGAAUCAAACUGUUAACAGUUGGAGCCAUUGGAGGAAAGUAACUAAGCACAUGUACUUCUAUAUGUUCCAGUGUCACACAAAUACACGGUACGUCAGUCACCACACAAGAGAAGUUGGCCGACCUGCAGGUACCGCAUCAAAACGGUGUCAAAAAGAACAUGAUGGAACCCAUAACGAGAUGUUCAUGUAGUGUAAACGGCAUACAACGAGCUGCACCAUAGGUGAGACAUUGUCCAACAUCUCAAGAGCGCACGUCUUGUUUCCCCUGCUUAGUAAUUAAUAGAAUGGUUGAUUAUUAACUCAACGCAGUCUAAUUGAGCAAACAAAAUGUUUUGUUUGUUUGGUGACCUCGGGUGAGAGAAACUGUAGCGCGCUCUUUACAUAGAUUCUGCAUCAGUAAUGGGGGCUGCAGGUGAUUGGUCCGAUAUCUGUGUCCAAAACAACUUUGUUCCUCUGACCCCCAGCAGACUCCAGCCGAGCAGAUAACUUGCGGGUUAUCGGAACAGAAUGGAUGCUAUUGACAAACUUUUGUCAGCAAGCUUUUUUAAUUAAAUUUCUCAGGCUGUGGAAGUGUAAAAUGUACAUCACUUCUGGCAGAGAAAAGAAAACUGGAUAAUGUGUAAGAUAAUGUUGCAUUGGACUGAAGUAAUUUGAGAUAAAACAACAGGCCUCAAGGCAAGACGUUAAAUAACUUCUGCAGUUUAAUGAGUUUGCAUGCCCCUUUGUCUACAAGUUUUAACUGACAUGUUCAAAGUAAUGCAAGUCUGGAA